UACCCGCUGAACUUAAGCAUAUCAAUAAGCCGGAGGAAA
rnacentral:rRNA from 1 species